AUUGAACGCUGGCGGCAUGCUUUACACAUGCAAGUCGAACGGUAACAGGCCGCAAGGUGCUGACGAGUGGCGAACGGGUGAGUAAUGCAUCGGAACGUGCCCAGUCGUGGGGGAUAACGCAGCGAAAGCUGCGCUAAUACCGCAUACGAUCUAUGGAUGAAAGCGGGGGACCGUAAGGCCUCGCGCGAUUGGAGCGGGCGAUGUCAGAUUAGGUAGUUGGUGGGGUAAAGGCUCACCAAGCCAACGAUCUGUAGCUGGUCUGAGAGGACGACCAGCCACACUGGGACUGAGACACGGCCCAGACUCCUACGGGAGGCAGCAGUGGGGAAUUUUGGACAAUGGGCGCAAGCCUGAUCCAGCAAUGCCGCGUGCAGGAAGAAGGCCUUCGGGUUGUAAACUGCUUUUGUACGGAACGAAACGGUCCUGGUUAAUACCUGGGGCUAAUGACGGUACCGUAAGAAUAAGCACCGGCUAACUACGUGCCAGCCGCCGCUGUAAGAC
rnacentral:rRNA from 1 species